AUACGUAGGGGGCGAGCGUUGUCCGGAAUUACUGGGCGUAAAGGGUGCGUAGGUGGCCUUUUAAGUUGGAUGUGAGAUACCCGGGCUUAACUUGGGGGGUGCAUCUAAUACUGGGAGGCGAGAGUGCAGGAGAGGGAAGCGGAAUUCCUAGUGUAGCGGUGAAAUGCGUAGAUAUUAGGAGGAACACCAGUGGCGAAGGCGGCUUUCUGGACUGUAACUGACACUGAGGCACGAAAGCGUGGGGAGCAAACAGGAUUAGAUACCCUGGUAGUCCACGCUGUAAACGAUGAAUACUAGGUGUAGGGGGUAUCAACUCCCCCGGUGCCGCAGCAAACGCAAUAAGUAUUCCGCCUGGGGAGUACGGCCGCAAGGUUGAA
rnacentral:rRNA from 1 species